rnacentral:lncRNA from 1 species
UCAUUCUUAUCAUGCUAAAUCAUGCAUCAAUCUAAUGUUGUGUGAAAUUUUUGAAAAUGAUAGAGGCAUUGUUUGUGAGAAAAACCACUUGACCAAAAAGCUUAAAUCAACUAACCUUGUGAGGAGUAAUCCUUAGUUAACCCCCUUUGAGCUUAUUUUAGGAUUCAUUUGAUUGAUCAUUGUAAAAUCAAUUGAAAAUUGUGGAAUAAAUGAAUCCUAAUUUCUUUCGUAUCAGUUGAAACCUCAAACCGAGUUGUUUGCAAAAUUUUGCCUUUUGCUUAUGUCUAAGUAGGGAGCAUUUUUGAAUAAAUUUGGUUUUGGAAUCUAAAGUUGGGGAGAGUAAAGUGAAAAGUUGAUUAGAAACUUGGAAAAGUGAGUUUCUAUGAAAGGGUAAGAAUAUGAAAAGAAACAAGAAAAAGAAAUCACCCUUGAAACCAUAGAGCAUAGAAAAAAAAAUUUAGAAAAAGAAAAGCAAAGGAAAUGCUCAUGGUUGUGUGGAUUUGAAAAGAAAAAGAAAAAGAAAAAGAUAGGGAUCAAAGAAAGGGAAAUUGUGUAGAGUUGAAUGUUUGGGAAUGCUCCCUUAGGAUAGGCAACUUUGUUGAAUUCUCUUAAUCAUAUCCUUUCUUGUAACCUAAGCCACAUUACAACCUUUGAAAGACCUCUUGAUUCUCAUUUUUCACAUGAUUUGGUACUUGUUGUGAUAACCGCAUGAUUUGAG